rnacentral:rRNA from 1 species
GUGGGGAAUAUCGGACAAUGGGCGAAAGCCCGAUCCAGCAAUAUCGCGUGAGUGAGUGAAAAACGUCGCGUUAGCGAGGAAGGGCAAUGCCGCUUGUAAAGCUCUUUCGUCGAGUGCGCGAUUAUGACAAGACUCGAAGAAGAAGCCCCGGCUAACUCCGUGCCAGCAGCCGCGGUAAUACGGGGGGGGCAAGUGUUAUUCGGAAUGACUGGGCGUAAAGGGCACGUAGGCAGUGAAUCAGGUUGAAAGUCAAAGACGCCAGCUCAACUGGCGGAAUGCUUUCAAAACCAAUUCACUCGAGUGAGAUAGAGGGGAGUGGAAUUUCGUGUGUAGGGACAAAAUCCGGAGAUAUACGAAGGAACGCCGAAGUAGCGAAGGCAGCUUUCUGGGUCUCUACUGACGCUAGGGUGCGAAAGCUUGGGGAGCAAACAGGAUUAGAUACCCUGGUAGUCCAUGCCGUAAACGAUGAGUGUUCGUCCUUGGUCCGCGGAUCGGGGGCUCAGCUAACGCGUUAAACACUCCGCCUGGGGAGUACGGUCGCAAGAC